GGGGGUAUAGCUUGGUGACAGAGUGCCUGCCUAGCAUGCACGAGGUCCUGGGUUCAAUCCCCCGUACCUCCA
rnacentral:tRNA from 1 species